rnacentral:rRNA from 1 species
GGGCCCGCACAAGCAGCGGAGCAUGUGGUUUAAUUCGAAGCAACGCGAAGAACCUUACCAAGGCUUGACAUCCUUUGCAUUACUCUUAACAGAGGAAAUCCUUCGGGACAAAGAGACAGGUGGUGCAUGGUUGUCGUCAGCUCGUGUCGUGAGAUGUUGGGUUAAGUCCCGCAACGAGCGCAACCCUUGUUGUUAGUUGCCAGCAGUAAGAUGGGCACUCUAACGAGACUGCCGAGGUUAACUCGGAGGAAGGUGGGGAUGACGUCAAAUCAUCAUGCCCUUUAUGCCUUGGGCUACACACGUGCUACAAUGGUUGGUACAAAGAGAUGCAAGACUGUGAAGUGGAGCAAAUCUCAAAAACCAAUCUCAGUUCGGAUUGUAGGCUGCAACUCGCCUACAUGAAGCUGGAGUUGCUAGUAAUCGUAAAUCAGAAUGUUACGGUGAAUGCGUUCCCGGGCCUUGUACACACCGCCCGUCACACCAUGAGAGUCGGCAACACCCGAAGUCAGUGAGCCAACCCGUAAGGGAAGCAGCUGCCGAAGGUGGGGUCGAUGAUUGGGGUGAAGUCGUAACAAGGUAGCCGUAGGAGAACCUGCGGCU